rnacentral:rRNA from 1 species
AGCUCCAAUAGCGUAUAUUAAAGUUGUUGCAGUUAAAAAGCUCGUAGUUGGAUUUGUGGUUUACGCAAGACUUCCGUCCCUUCUUUGGUUCGGUGUUGUCUGGCGUUGCCAUCCUUGGGUGGAAUCUGUGUGGCAUUAGGUUGUCGUGCAGGGGAUGCCCAUCGUUUACUGUGAAAAAAUUAGAGUGUUCAAAGCAGGCUUAUGCCGUUGAAUAUGUUAGCAUGGAAUAAUGAUAUAGGACCUUGGUACUAUUUUGUUGGUUUGCGCACCGAGGUAAUGAUUAACAGGGUCAACUGGGGAUAUUCGUAUUCCGCUGUCAGAGGUGAAAUUCUUGGAUUUUUGGAAGACGAACUACUGCGAAAGCAUUUAUCAAGGAUGUUUUCAUUAAUCAAGAACGAAA